rnacentral:lncRNA from 1 species
CGGGAGAGUAGUUCUUUAUAUGCUGAGCUUUUGUUCAGCAUAUAACAGCGUUUGGACCAAAGAUGAACCCUUAUAAAACAUGGGUAUAGAGAUUAAAUUUUCUGGCUAUGUUGCAGGUAAAGUCAGCAUUAAAUAAAUGAGUGGAAGAACAAGGGUGGAUCUCCUGGUGAGACUCACAUUUAGGGGCCAUUUAAGGACUUUAUCAACCAGUGUCUCAUUUUAAUACAGGGAUCUUUUUUUUUUUUAAUUGACAGGACCCAAAACAGACUUUCAAAUGUCCCUAUUAUUUAAAAGCAAGAUUAGAUUGAAACACUGUUCAAUUUCCCUGCCUAGAUUCAUGACACAAGCCCUCCAUUUUCUUUCCCUGCAAAUGGAAAGCAAUUUAUAGUCUUAACAACCGCUGUCACGGGAAUCAUGAGAAGGUAUUUCAUAC